UACAUGAGACAAAGACAUCCAAGAGUCAGAACACAGUAGCAAACUCAUCUAAGUUUUGCAUGCAGACUGGGGAAAAGGACUAGGACAUCAGUGAGAGGCAUUAGGUGAAAUGAGUGAGCUUCAUGAACUGGUUCACUGAGACAUUCUCAGCAUCUGCUCACUUUCCAGAGAAGAAACUGUAGCUAAAAGGAUUAGUUUUGACAAUGGACACAUGCCUUGUCAAGAAUUUACAGGAGACAGUACUUCCCCAAAGCAGCAUUCUUCCCUUUUAAGAUGGUUGCAUUAUCAGUUACUCAUUUUUCA